rnacentral:rRNA from 1 species
UACGAAGGGGGCUAGCGUUGCUCGGAAUCACUGGGCGUAAAGCGCACGUAGGCGGCUUUCUAAGUCAGGGGUGAAAUCCUGGAGCUCAACUCCAGAACUGCCUUUGAUACUGGAGAGCUUGAGUCCGGGAGAGGUGAGUGGGAACUCCGAGUGUAGAGGUGAAAUUCGUAGAUAUUCGGAAGAACACCAGUGGCGAAGGCGGCUCACUGGCCCGGUACUGACGCUGAUGUGCGAAAGCGUGGGGAGCAAACAGG